rnacentral:rRNA from 1 species
GCAGGAUAGUAAUGUAUCCGUCCCUUCGGGGCAGUGGAGACAGGUGGUGCAUGGUUGUCGUCAGCUCGUGUCGUGAGAUGUUGGGUUAAGUCCCGCAACGAGCGCAACCCUUACCUUCAGUAGCCAGCACGUAAUGGUGGGCACUCUGGAGGGACUGCCGGGGACAACCCGGAGGAAGGUGGGGACGACGUCAAAUCAUCAUGCCCCUUAUGGCCUGGGCUACACACGUGCUACAAUGGCGUAAACAGAGGGAGGCAGCCCCGCGAGGGUGAGCAAACCCCAAAAAUAACGUCCCAGUUCGGAUUGCAGUCUGCAACUCGACUGCAUGAAGCUGGAAUCGCUAGUAAUCGCGGAUCAGAAUGCCGCGGUGAAUACGUUCCCGGGUCUUGUACACACCGCCCGUCACACCAUGGGAGUUGGUAACGCCCGAAGUCAGUGACCUAACCGAAAGGGAGGAGCUGCCGAAGGUGGGACCAGUGACUGGGGUGAAGUCGUAACAAGGUAGCCGUAUCGGAAGG